CUACGGGCGGCUGCAGUGAGGAAUAUUGCACAAUGGGGGGAACCCUGAUGCAGCAACGCCGCGUGGAGGAUGACGCAUUUCGGUGUGUAAACUCCUUUUAUAUGUCAAGAAAAUGACGGUAGCAUAUGAAUAAGCACCGGCUAACUCCGUGCCAGCAGCCGCGGUAAUACGGAGGGUGCAAGCGUUACUCGGAAUCACUGGGCGUAAAGGACGCGUAGGCGGGUUGGAAAGUCAGGUGUGAAAUCCUACAGCUUAACUGUAGAACUGCACUUGAAACUUCUAAUCUAGAGUAUGGGAGGGGAGAUGGGAUUAGUGGUGUAGGGGUAAAAUCCGUAGAUAUCACUAGGAAUACCUAAAGCGAAGGCGAUCUCCUGGAACAUUACUGACGCUAAGGCGUGAAAGCGUGGGGAGCAAACAGGAUUAGAUACCCUCGUAGUC
rnacentral:rRNA from 1 species